AUAAACACACAAACCACAAGGUGGCUUUCACUUGUACUAAAUGAAGCUAAAUAUAUUAAAGCACGUACCCAUGAGACAGUCAGGGUUUUCUUUCCAUCGCAUUCGGAUUGACCACUUGGGCGCAUUCUCGGGCCGAAGAUCACUGUACCCAUCAUUA
rnacentral:lncRNA from 1 species